rnacentral:rRNA from 1 species
GUAUUUUGGACAAUGGGCGAAAGCCUGAUCCAGCAAUGCCGCGUGCAGGAUGAAGGACUUCGGAUUGUAAACUGCAUUUGUAAUGAACUAAAAGCUUUGGGUUAAAACCACGGAGUUACGACGGUACCGUACGAAUAAGCACAGAAUAACUACGUCCAAUCAGCCGCGGUAAUACGCAGGGUGCAAGCGUAAAUCGGAAUUACUGGGCGUAAAGCGUGCGCAGGCGGUUUGGUAAGACAGAGGUGAAAUCCCCGGGCUCAACCUGGGAACUGCCUUUGUGACUGCAAGGCUAGAGUACGGCAGAGGGGGGUGGAAUUCCGCGUGUAGCAGUGAAAUGCGUAGAUAUGCGGAGGAACACCGAUGGCGAAGGCAACCCCCUGGGCCUGUACUGACGCUCAUGCACGAAAGCGUGGGGAGCAAACA